AACGGGAUCCAUCAAGCUUGCUUGGUGGUGAGAGUGGCGAACGGGUGAGUAAUGCGUGACCGACCUGCCCCAUACACCGGAAUAGCUCCUGGAAACGGGUGGUAAUGCCGGAUGCUCCAGUUGAUCGCAUGGUCUUCUGGGAAAGCUUUCGCGGUAUGGGAUGGGGUCGCGUCCUAUCAGCUUGACGGCGGGGUAACGGCCCACCGUGGCUUCGACGGGUAGCCGGUCUGAGAGGAUGUCCGGCCACACUGGAACUGAGACACGGCCCAGACUCC
rnacentral:rRNA from 1 species